ACUUGAUUUCUUCUUUCUAACAAGUCCGGAUGCGAUUCAUUCCGCUAAGAAUAUGAUUUUACAUCCUAAUCGCAAGAUCUACGCGAUUUCUACGUUGUGUUCUUCGUUGGAGGCUUGUGGAUUAAAUUAAAUUCGGUCCAGCCCCUUGAACCUUGGGUUAAUACAUUAUUUAUCUUAUUGUUCAUCAUCCUUAGACACGUCGACUGCUCGUGCUUCGGAGUCGAAAAAGGUUUAGUUGCUUGCCAGGUUUUUCACGUGGAUUUGCAAGCAGUUUAUGAUUUGAAAGCUGGUCCACUCCGAUUCUUUUGAUUCCUCGGAGGUUUUUAUGUUAUUUAAACUAGUUUCUGUUUUCAAACUCUUAGACCGCAGUAGAACUAGUUAUUUAUUUCAUUUGAUACUACACUUUGGGAUUGUCGAUAUAUUCGAUUAUUAUAUUUGGCAUGAUUACUCUGGAUUACGAUAUUGUUAUAUAUAAGGCAUGAUGUUGAACAUUUAA